rnacentral:rRNA from 1 species
AUGAAGACCUUUCUCAUCCUUGCCCUCCUUGCUAUCGUGGAGACCACCACCACAACUGCAGUUAGAGUUCCAGUGCCACAAUUGCAGCCACAAAAUCCAUCUCAGCAACAACCACAAGAGCAAGUUCCAUUGGUGCAACAACAACAAUUUCUAGGGCAGUAACAACAACAAUUUCCAGGGCAACAACAACCAUUUCCACCAUAACAGCCAUAUCCGCAGCCGCAACCAUUUCUGCCACAACUACCAUAUCCGCAGCCGCAACCAUUUCCACCACAACAAUCAUAUCCACAACCACAACCACAAUAUCCGCAACCACAACAACCAAUUUCGCAGCAACAAGCACAACAACAACAACAACAACAACAACAACAACAAAUCCUUCAACAAAUUCUGCAACAACAACUGAUUCCAUGCAGGGAUGUCGUCUUGCAACAACCCAACAUAGCACAUGCAAGCUCACAAGUAUUGCAACAAAGUUACCAACUGUUGCAACAAUUAUGUUGUCAGCAACUGUGGCAGACCCCCGAGCAGUCACGGUGCCAAGCCAUCCACAAUGUCAUUCAUGCUAUUAUUU